UACGAAGGGGGCUAGCGUUGCUCGGAAUUACUGGGCGUAAAGGGCGCGUAGGCGGACAGUUAAGUCAGAGGUGAAAGCCCAGGGCUCAACCCUGGAAUUGCCUUUGAUACUGGCUGUCUUGAGUGCGGGAGAGGUGUGUGGAACUCCGAGUGUAGAGGUGAAAUUCGUAGAUAUUCGGAAGAACACCAGUGGCGAAGGCGACUCACUGGACAUGUAUUGACGCUGAGGUGCGAAAGCGUGGGGAGCAAACAGG
rnacentral:rRNA from 1 species